rnacentral:rRNA from 1 species
UACGGAGGGUGCAAACGUUGCUCGGAAUCAUUAGGCGUAAAGCGCACGUAGGCGGUCCGGCAAGUCGGGUGUGAAAGCCCUCGGCUUAACCGGGGAAGUGCAUUCGAAACUACCGGACUUGAGUACUGAAGAGGGUCGCGGAAUUCCCGGUGUAGAGGUGAAAUUCGUAGAUAUCGGGAGGAACACCAGUGGCGAAGGCGGCGACCUGGGCAGAUACUGACGCUGAGGUGCGAAAGCGUGGGGAGCAAACAGG